AGGGGCAUCAGUUUGGUUUGCUUGCAAACCAAAGCUGGCGACCGGCGCACGGGUGAGUAACACGUAUCCAACCUGCCUCAUACUCGGGGAUAGCCUUUCGAAAGAAAGAUUAAUAUCCGAUAGCAUAUAUUUCCCGCAUGGGUUUUAUACUAAAGAAAUUCGGUAUGAGAUGGGGAUGCGUUCCAUUAGUUUGUUGGCGGGGUAACGGCCCACCAAGACUACGAUGGAUAGGGGUUCUGAGAGGAAGGUCCCCCACAUUGGAACUGAGACACGGUCCAAACUCCUACGGGAGGCAGCAGUGAGGAAUAUUGGUCAAUGGACGCGAGUCUGAACCAGCCAAGUAGCGUGAAGGAUGACUGCCCUAUGGGUUGUAAACUUCUUUUUAUAUGGGAAUAAAGUGGUCCACGUGUGGAUUUUUGCAUGUACCAUAUGAAUAAGGAUCGGCUAACUCCGUGCCAGCAGCCGCGGUAAUACGGAGGAUCCGAGCGUUAUCCGGAUUUAUUGGGUUUAAAGGGAGCGUAGGCGGAUUGUUAAGUCAGUUGUGAAAGUUUGCGGCUCAACCGUAAAAUUGCAGUUGAUACUGGCAGUCUUGAGUGCAGUAGAGGUGGGCGGAAUUCGUGGUGUAGCGGUGAAAUGCUUAGAUAUCACGAAGAACUCCGAUUGCGAAGGCAGCUCACUGGAGUGUAACUGACGCUGAUGCUCGAAAGUGUGGGUAUCAAACAGGAUUAGAUACCCUGGUAGUCCACACAGUAAACGAUGAAUACUCGCUGUUUGCGAUAU
rnacentral:rRNA from 1 species